CGGAGGGGUGCCGCCUCUUCGGAAACAAGUUCCUCAGACCGAAUGAAGAGGUUCCACAGAGGUGGGAAAGCACAGUGAUACACAUUCCAGACUUCAGUACAGAAGAGUGGAUGUGAAAGCUGUGAUCAUGGAGGCCGCAUAUUGAUGUCAAAGAGCUGUAAGGUCACAGCGUAGAAUACCCAGUCACUGCAUCAGUGACAACUGCCCUACAGAAGUGCUUGACUCCCUCCAAAUUGCAUAAGCUGUCCCUGCAGCUCUUUGCCAUCACCAUGAGGAGAAUAUACCCUGCCUAGCUACUGGCUCCACGAGGAGAAUGAAGAACGUGUGAAGCAGAAUCACCCAGCAAACCCAAAGUCAUCCUGCCAGCCUGUCCUGUGGAGUUUGGACUUGCCAGCCCCCACAAUUGUAAAGAAGAGGAGAAAGAGGAGGACAAGAAAGAAGAAAAAGGAGAAGAAAAAGGUGGGAAGCAGCUCUAGGAGACUAGAGACAUGAUAACUUAAAUUUAAAGUAAUAUUUGAUUAGAUCCCAGAUUCAAGUUAAAAUGACCGUUAACACACUGUUGGGACAAUGGGGAAAUUUAAAUGUGAACAAUAUAUUAGAUAACACUCCUUAAUCAAUGCUAAAAAUCUUGGUUGUGAUAAUAGCAUUAUCAGUAUGCAGGAAAAAUGUUCUCAUUAUUAAUAGAUAUAUGCUGAAAUAUUUAAGGAUGAAGUAUCAUGAUGUUUACUUUUAAAUGAAUCAAAAAAGGUGCAUCUAAUUUCUUUACACUAACAAUGA